AGAUGCGAUCAUACCAGCACUGAAUCACCGGAUCCCAUCCGAACUACCUAGCUAAGCGUGUUUGGGCGAGAGUAGUAGUAGGAUGGGUGACCUCUUGGGAAGUCCUCGUGUUGCACCUU